rnacentral:tRNA from 1 species
AAUAAAGUAAGCUAAAUAUAAGCUAUUGGGUUCAUACCCCAAAUAUGAUAACAAAAUCCUUUAUUAA